CCGGGUGACCACGCCCCUCGACCCCGAGCCUGCCUCAGGCCGCAGUUGUUUCCCGCCCUGUGUUCCUCUGGUUAAAUAUUAUCGAUCUUUCCUGGUUCACCCACCGCGAAUACCGUGAGAGCAAGGGGAGGGGAGAAAAGGCGGGAAAAACAAAAACACACACACCUCCUCAGCACACAGCUCUGCUCUCUCUAGACCCCGCCCCUAAAGGGAAGGAGCGGGCAGCAGGCAAGGCUGACGCGUCCGGCGCCAUCUUUCAAGUGGGCGGAACGAGUCGCGGCUGAUGCGCCCCAUUUCCUCGUGGGACACCGUAGGAAUGUAUUGUGUGCUGCUUCAGAGCUGGAGCUGAGGACUUGUUGAUUACCUCCCAUUUACCAAAUUACAGCAAAUUAGAUUGAACUGUGACUGGCAUGUGAACGAUCUGAUGUUGGACAUGGAUGAGGAAUAUUGCUCUAUAAACCACAGUAAGGAGAUUGAGAAGGAGCUGCUGAUACUCACUUUGGACAGAACGCCUACAUCUAUGGAGAGUGCCAUCCUGCUGCCAUACUAAGGAACAUCACAACUGUUUAUUGGCCAUCAGGCUCACUGCAUUGGCUUAUAUGCAAUUGAGAAAGCUUCACAUUAAUGCUGAAAUGGCAAGGGCAGGGGCCAGUGGGAUUUUGAUAGAACUGGCCUUGAGAACUGAAAGAUCGCUCAUUGAUAACAGCCUAUAUGACAAUUUAAGACUAGCUGGUAGAAUUCACUGUGUCACCGUGAUUAUGGACCUAGAGAAGUUGGAUGUUAAUAAAGUAGCAAAUUCCAUCCAAGGUCACCUUUAAGUAGAUAUUAUAAAUCUUUAAAUACAAGUUACUUUUCUUCUCGGUGCGAGGCUGGUGAAGAUUGCUAAGGUGACUCCCAUUUAUAAGGAUCUGGUGUAAAAGAUGGUGGCAGCUAUUGUUCCUGGUAAUCAUUCCUUCUCUACUAUCCUGAAAUUGCUUUCAAGGUAGUUCAUAAACAGGUUUACAGUUAUUUUAUGGCUUGCUGUUUAAUAGUGCCUCCCCAGUCUGAGUUUUGCUCAAGAUAGUUUAUGUUACUAACAGGGCUUAAUUUAUUGGCUCUGUUAGACACAGAUACCAAGUUAGAGAAAGCGGUGAAGCAGGAGAAAGCAUUGAAGACAGUGUUUUCGUGCCGCCUAAAGUGUAUCCACUGGGUUUUUAAGCUCAAGUCUGUUACUUUGCAUUU
rnacentral:lncRNA from 1 species